rnacentral:lncRNA from 1 species
GAUAUCAUGGAAUGCAUCACAGCACAAACAAAUCACAUCAAGGAUGGACUUGUCACCAAUGGCCCUCAUCAUAAUCCAAUCAUGCCAGGGGCGUAGUGCAGGCCACACCUGGUCUUUCCCUUAAACAUAACAUGUCAUACAUAUCCAAUAAUGCCGGGGGCGUAGUGCAGGCCACACCCGGACUUUCCCUUACAUAGUGCCAGGGGCGUAGUGCAUGCCACACCUGGACUUCCAUAUCAUAUCAUAUCUCAUCAUACUGAGGACCAAUGGGUCAUCCAACAUCC